rnacentral:lncRNA from 1 species
CGGCAACCUGCGAGUUUGCCUUUUUUCCUACAGUUUGUUUACCACUGACGAGGCCUUCUGCUGAGAUUUGAUGUAACACGAACUAGACAAACAAUUGGAAUCAUAUCACAUCGUCAAAGUGUCGUGGCCCAAUGUGCACUGUAGAAGAACCCUAUCAGGCCUGUGACCCAUUUUUGGGUCUUGACCCACCAGUUCGGAAGUACAGCUCUAAACGAUCUUCUCCAUUUGAGGGCUUCUCAGGCAUCUGGUUCUCAUGCAGAGUGAGUGGAGUGAAAAAUGAGAGGAAAGAAAGAGAGAAAUGGAUUGUGACGGAGGUAGCGAGGGUAAUAGGAUUGAGCCUGGACUCUGCGGGGUUGAGCUGCCCUCCUAACCGGACUCACUUCCUCUUCUCUCCUCUUCCCCACUGCGAGGUCAACCAGUCGUCCAUCAGAUCGCUGGCUAAUCCUUUCACAAUGAUUGAGUUGGACAAGUUUCUGAGACCAAAAGCGUAAAGAAGACGAUGAAUGAAAGAGAGAUCACACCCAAUAGAUGAGAUCGCUGGCCGGAUGUGCAUUUCUAUAUAUGAGGGCUUGCUGAUGGUAGCUCUCUGGGCUGGAGUCUGACAGAUGGAGCCAGAACUUCCCUGCUCUCUUCUGGAUUU